rnacentral:lncRNA from 1 species
UGGGACCUCUACCUAACUGUACUUGGAGUGACCGGAGAGAAGACUGGAAGUUGAGCAGCCAUCAUGCUCCACCGAGGAAGUGAGGGUGAAUGGAGCCAAGAGAUGUGGAGGGAGAAACUGGUUCCAGGAAACACCCUCUAUUCCCUAUCGCUUCAUGCUGCGAGUAACAGGGGUUAUUCAAAAGCACACUGGAGAAAGCAGGAAGAACGCCACCUACAGCUUGGGUAGGCUCCAUUUCGAGGAUGGAAUCAAUCCACUGUGGCUCCGAGGCCUGCCUCCUGCUUGUGACAGUUAAAUGCCUUCGGUUUUUGGCUUAUUUAAAGAACAUACCAUUUUAUGGGCAGGAGGAAGCACUUUAAUCUGCAAAAUGAUUUUUAUCACAAACUAAACAUCCUUGUAACUUUUUGGUCCUCUGCUUUGGUCGAAGUUGUCUCUCCUUGGAGCUCAGACAGCUGUUGGAGCUCAGAAGAUCUGCCUCCACCCUGCACUUUGCCCUGCUCGCUGGUACUCUGGUGCUCUCCAAUUCCUGGAUCCAUGUGGGAUGUAAGAACUCAGGAUCAGGACGCCUGCACGCAUCAAAAUGGGGCAUUUUCUUUCUCUUUAUCCCAGGACUUGAGAGAAAGCAAAAAACAAACAAACACAAACAAAACAAGAAUUCCUCUAAUUUAAGGUUUUUAACCUUGACACUUGAAGUUUUGGGCCAGACAAUUAUUUGUCAUCAGGACUGCUUUGUGCAAUGUAGGAUAUUCCUGGCCUCUACCCACUAGAUGACCCAUUAGCACCCCUCAUUUGGGACAACCAGAAAUGUCCGUGGACAUUGACAAAUAACCAGGGAUGGGGGCCAAGAUCCCCCCUCAUUCCCCAGCUCCCCAUUUCCUGGUUAAAAACCACUGCUGACAGCAUCUUUAAAAACAUAAUUCCUUGUAGUAUUAUGUUGUGAGAUUGAGAGAACCAUCACCCUCCUUAGAACUUUACAAAAGCCAUAUAAAAUAUCCCCUGAGGAGAACUGACUUAAAGAAACUUCAAGAUAGCAGCCUGCGCAACAUAGUGAAAUCCCAUCUCUACGGAAACACACACACACACACACACACACACACAAAGUAGCCAGGCAUGGUGGCACGAACCUGUAGUACCAACUAUCCGGAAGGCUGAGGCUGAGGUGGGAGGAUUCCUUGAGCCUCCGAGGUCAAGGCUGCAGUGAGCCCUGAUGGUGCCACUGCACUCCAGCUUGGCCGACAGAACGAGACCUUGACUCCAAAAUAGCAAUACUACUGUCUGUCAGGGCUAUGAAGCCACGUAAGACUUGACCCAUUAAGGACAAGAGUGAAGAAAAAUGUAUCAAAUAGAAAUAAUUUUAUCUAAACACUGGCAAGAGGAAAAAGACAUGGAGGAGAAACUUAGAAAUGAAAAGCAGUGAGGCAUCUAUAUGAAAUGUUCUAGAGUUGAAAAGAAAGCUCUUUCUACAUCUGCAAGGCUGAUCCAUUUUUCUCCCUUCCAAGAACUCUACUAAAAAAAUUAUCUGUUGCUUAUCUGAAAUGCAAAUAUAACUGGAUGUCCUGUAUUUGUGAAAUUCCAGCAACCCUAAUCCAGGACCAAAGCAGAAUUAACCAAAUAAAUGAAAG